AUUGAACGCUGGCGGCAUGCCUUACACAUGCAAGUGGAACGGUAACAGGUCUUCGGAUGCUGACGAGUGGCGAACGGGUGAGUAAUACAUCGGAACGUGCCUAGUCGUGGGGGAUAACUACUCGAAAGAGUGGCUAAUACCGAAUGAGAUCUACGGAAGAAAGCAGGGGAUCGCGAGACCUUGUGCUACUAGAGCGGCCGAUUGCAGAUUAGGUAGUUGGUGGGAUAAAAGCUUACCAAGCGGACGAUCGGUAGCUGGUCUGAGAGGAAGAUCAGCCAAACUGGGACAGAGACACGGCCCAUACUCCUCCGGGAGGCAGUAGUGGGUAAUUUUGGACAAUGGGCGCAAGCCUAAUCCUGCAAUGCCGCGUGCAGGAUGAAGGCCUUCGGGUUGUAAACUGCUUUUGUACGGAACGAAAAGCCCUGGGUUAAUACCCUGGGGUCAUGACGGUACCGUAAGAAUAAGCACCGGCUAACUACGUGCCAGCCGCCGCAGUAAAAC
rnacentral:rRNA from 1 species